UGUGUUGGGUUGGCUAGGGAGAAGUGUUUGGCUCCUUUUAGGGAUGCGAGGAUUAAGGUUGGGAAAGGGGUUUUGAGUUCGAAGGAAGCUGUGAAGUUGAUUGGAUGGGCUUCAAUGCCAAUGAGUAAAAUGAGUUCUAAGUGUUUGAUUGGUGGUGAAUUUGGUGUGACUAAUCGAAGGGCUAGUGAAUUGUUGGGUUCUGAUGAUUUUGUGAAACGAAUUUUGGAUGAGAGACAACACGGGACCGAAAGUUAAAACAAUGGUUAAUCGAGUAAGCACGCCCUGCAUGAUUUUGUUAUCUAAUAUGUCAGUAUCUUCAUAUAAAGAGGAGCUUCCUUUGAUUCUACUCAGCUUGCUUAGAUAAAAUCAUUGACAGUUACUCCAGCUACUCUCCAGCAAAUGUAAUUUUGAUGUUGUCUUCAGAAGCUACAACUCAUCUUCUCGUGGAUGCAUGUUGGUAUUUCAAGUGGGCGAAUGGACUUAAAUCGUUGGAUAUUUGUUGUUUUGUUAUUUUGUACCGUGUGUAAACUUUCUUAUAAUUUUGUACACUUUUGUAUCCUAAAUUAAUACUUUUGUAAAU